GUAGUCGUGGCCGAGUGGUUAAGGCGAUGGACUUGAAAUCCUGCGCAGGUUCAAAUCCUGCCGACUACG